rnacentral:misc_RNA from 1 species
AAGUCGUAACAAGGUUUCCGUAGGUGAACCUGCAAGGAUCAUUAACACGUAUCCAACGUUAAAACAACCCACGUGAACUUUUCAGCUUGCUCCUGUAGCCCGUGAAAACAGCAAUCCCUGGUAAAUCAUUGUUGACCAGCUUUUGAGGUAGGGACCUCUGCCGAUACGGUUGAGCGAUUGCAUCUAGUGACCUGGCAUCCCCAAGUAAUCAGUGUCUGAAAGUGUCAUUGAUUAUGUAAGGAUGGCGCAGUCACGAUCGCUGUAGGCCCACACGGCCGGCGACCGGGUCACCGGGCUCUGCCCCUUUACGACAACACAGUACGAAUUGGCCGCGCGUGAACCGAACAACUGUUAACAAUGGAUAUCUUGGUUCUC